rnacentral:rRNA from 1 species
GAUCAUGGCUCAGAUUGAACGCUGGCGGCAGGCCUAACACAUGCAAGUCGAGCGGUAACACAAGGGAGCUUGCUCCUGAGGUGACGAGCGGCGGACGGGUGAGUAAUGCCUAGGGAUCUGCCCAGUCGAGGGGGAUAACAGUUGGAAACGACUGCUAAUACCGCAUACGCCCUACGGGGGAAAGGAGGGGACCUUCGGGCCUUCCGCGAUUGGAUGAACCUAGGUGGGAUUAGCUAGUUGGUGAGGUAAUGGCUCACCAAGGCGACGAUCCCUAGCUGUUCUGAGAGGAUGAUCAGCCACACUGGGACUGAGACACGGCCCAGACUCCUACGGGAGGCAGCAGUGGGGAAUAUUGCACAAUGGGGGAAACCCUGAUGCAGCCAUGCCGCGUGUGUGAAGAAGGCCUUCGGGUUGUAAAGCACUUUCAGUAGGGAGGAAAGGUGAUGUGUUAAUAGCACAUUGCUGUGACGUUACCUACAGAAGAAGGACCGGCUAACUCCGUGCC